rnacentral:lncRNA from 1 species
GCCGACAGCGGCAACUCGCAGGGGUCCACUUCUGUGUGGUGGAAGCUUUGUCCUUUGCUUCUUUAUAGCUGCUACUGCUCACUUUUUGGGUCCGUGCCAUUUGUAAGAACUGUAACACUGCCGUCUUUGAGAGCUGUAACACUGGUGGGCGCUUUGGGAGGCUGAGGUAGGUGGAUCAGGAGGUCGAGAGAUUUGCGACCAUCCUGGCUAAUACGGUGAAACCCUGUAGCCACUAAAAAUGCAAAAAGAAAAAAAAAAAGCUGGCGCGGCGUGGUGGUGGGCGCGUGUAGUCCCAGCUGCUCAGGAGGAGGAGGCAGGAGAAUGGCCGGAACGGGGGAGGCGGAGCUUGCAGUGAGCCAAGACCGCGCCACUGCCCUCUGGCGUGAGGAACAGCGGGAGACUCGGUCUCAAAAAGAAAAGAGCUGUAACACUCACCACGAAGGCCCGGCUUCGUUCUUGAAGGCAGCGAGACCACGAACACCCUGGCCGGCAGCAACUGCAGACACAUAAUCACAAGAAAGGACUGAGCCAAUUCUGAUCAGCAGGCAGCAGCCAUUACCCUCUGAAGGUCAACGCAGUUAGGUGCAGUGACAGACACACUUGGAGGUGCCACAGCCUCCUGCGUGUCCUUGUACUCCAUGUCCAUUUGGUCUUCUUCACUGUGGGGCAUCCUCCUGGCCAACAAUAACUCCGACCAUCUUCAGGUGCUUGGCUGAAGAAAUAGCUUGCUGUAGAUGUCUCCUCUGCUUUCAUGGACCAGCGUUGGCAGUGCGACGAGCUUGAUUUCUCAGACCAGCUAGUUGGUGACUCCUCCGCUCUGCACACUUCCCUCUCAUACCUUCUCUUCUCUAGCUCCUCCUGCAACUGGCAAGGUCUCGUUCCCGUAAUAGAUCUCUCAUCCCAUGACCCAUUCUGGUUCUGCCCACCUGAGGAACCCUGGAGGAUGCCCCUGAAUAUUACCAUCUGCAGUGGGCAGUGUUCUCUCUGUCCCUUGAGGUUAUGAAAUUUCCAUCUUGUUCAACUUCAGAGAAGUAGAGUAUGUUCUAGCCCAGGAAGGACACUCACUCUCUCACUCACUCUGAUUUUGGCAGGUUCUAAAUCUGUCAUAACCUCACACAUCCAGUUAUUCAUGGACAAGGGAACAUGAGCUCAAUCUGACUUCUGCUUUUGGAGAGAAAGUGGGUGACCUGAUGUGUUUCUGAGAAAUGAGUCUAGGGAGGUGUGUGCCCCACUCUCUGCUCACUGCAUAUGUCCCCAUUGCAAGCACAUUUGUACCCCAGUGCUCAUCUUUACCUUUAUGAUGUCCUCCCAGGUGAGAAAUCACCCAAGUGGUCAUUGCCACCCCCUACUAUUUCAGUGUUUGGGGUUUUGGAAAUGAUUUACUGACAUUGUAUCAGAGCAUAGUAACAUUUAAUCAGGGGCUGGCUUUCUCAAGGACAAAUAUUUUCUGACAUCAGUUCCUAAGCAGAAGAGGCCAACAGCAUCUGAGGAUCCCUUUGUUUGGGUUUCUGGCAGUUACCUCCCUUCCCAGGGUGAACAGUGACUCUGCUGUAUGAGGAUUUACUUAUCUUCCUGUCCUGUGUUUUUGACAUUCUGAACAAAGUUUCUGGGGAGUAAACUUUAUGUUUAAACCAUGUUUAUGUUAAGCUUUAUCUGUUCAAAAAUCAAGUAUAUAUAGUUGAUCAUAAAAUAAUGACAUUAUAGAAAAUGUGAACAAAUAUAGAAAUGUUUUUGGUGGAACAUAAGUCACUCUAAAUCUCUCAACCCAGAAAUAC